ensembl:lncRNA
GAAUUUUUCAGAGUAUGAAGAACAAGUCACUAAGGGAAGAUGCUGGAAUGGUGAAGGAAACCCUAUGAUCAGAGAAUAGUAGAAGCUGGUCACUUUUAUCUAUGUAACCCAGAGUGAAUUGAAUCUGACCAAAUUUUAAGGCUCUUUUGGUGUCUACCUUUUUUAUCUGAGUGAUCAGAUAGGAAAUAGUGCAAUCAUAAGUUAUCAUUAUGCUGUCUAAUCUAUAAAUAAACAGAUAAGAUGUUAUCUGGGGGGGGGGAGGGGAAGAAGUUCUUUUUUUAAUAGAAAUUCAAGUAACUAAAUAAUGAAUGGCCGUUCUACUGUUUGGUGUAGACAUAUUAAAAAUAGUUUAGUACUUCAGAUCUAAUGUGAAAUCUGUGAGCACGAAAGAAAACAGUGACUUGAAUGCUCAAUUUAAUUGUUGAUUUGAUCCACAACUGGCUGAGGUCAGAAGGGGACUCGGGAGGUCAACUCCUGCUAAAGCAGGUUGCCUAGUCUACUAAAAUAUUGGGCUGAGCAUUACUGGCUUCUUGGCUCAUGAGCAGAACAACUUGAAGUAAUACGUGGCUUGUCAUGUCUAUGCAACCAGAUUUUGGGGAAGUGCUGCUGCAUUCCCUUUCAAGGGCACAUGGAUGGUGUGGAUCUUAUCUACUGCGCUAUCAAUUUACUAAGAAGUUAAUAUAGCUUUAAAUCAUGAGUCAUUUUUGUGGUGUUACUGUUUAAGGUUUUGGUAGCUUUGUUCUGGAGAGAGAUUCUGAGUUUUAAGACAGUACUGGGAAAAUCUGAGAGCAAAAUCUCUUUAACAGCAUGAUAUAGACCUCUCACUGUCUAUUAUCCAUCUUUGUGUUUUAAGCUUGCUUUAAAUAAUCACUUCCGUAUCUAAUAUGCUCUUUAAAAAAAAAAUCUUGUAAUACAUUAUUACUCUAACCUUAUUAGGUGUGACACAAGUAAUAUUUCACAUAAUACAUUGCUCUGAAGCUUCCUAAUUAUUAAACGAACUUUUCUGGUGUAUACAUAUGCAUCUACUUCCAUCAUUCAUUAUAGUAAAUGACAGAGCUGUACUUUUUACUUUUCCCCAAGCACUUCUCAACCAUUCCUUUACUUCUAGUAUGG